rnacentral:rRNA from 1 species
ACAAGUCGAGCGAACAGAAAAGGAGCUUGCUCCUUUGACGUUAGCGGCGGACGGGUGAGUAACACGUGGGCAACCUACCCUAUAGUUUGGGAUAACUCCGGGAAACCGGGGCUAAUACCGAAUAAUCUCUUUUGCUUCAUGGUGAAAGACUGAAAGACGGUUUCGGCUGUCGCUAUAGGAUGGGCCCGCGGCGCAUUAGCUAGUUGGUGAGGUAACGGCUCACCAAGGCGACGAUGCGUAGCCGACCUGAGAGGGUGAUCGGCCACACUGGGACUGAGACACGGCCCAGACUCCUACGGGAGGCAGCAGUAGGGAAUCUUCCACAAUGGGCGAAAGCCUGAUGGAGCAACGCCGCGUGA